rnacentral:rRNA from 1 species
UAGGGAAUAUUGCACAAUGGAGGAAACUCUGAUGCAGCGACGCCGCGUGAGUGAUGAAGGCCUUCGGGUCGUAAAGCUCUGUCGCAGGGGAAUAACACAAUGAAAUGUACCCUGUAAGAAAGGAUCGGCUAACUUCGUG